GGUAGUAAAAGUCGUAACAAGGUUUCCGUAGGUGAACCUGCGGAAGGAUCAUUAUUGUAUAACCGAGGUGCGAGGGCUGUCGCUGACCCGAAAGGUCGUGCACGCCCGAGUGCCCUCACACACAUCCAUCUCACCCCUAUGUGCACCACCUCGUGGGUCCCCCUUUGGCUUGUUCGGAGGGGGGCUUACGUUUUCACACAAACUUUGUAUGCAGUGUAGAAUGUAUUUUUUGUUUUUGCGAUCACGCAAUCAAUACAACUUUCAACAACGGAUCUCUUGGCUCUC
rnacentral:misc_RNA from 1 species